rnacentral:rRNA from 1 species
UACGUAGGGCGCGAGCGUUGUUCGGAAUUACUGGGCGUAAAGGGCGCGUAGGCGGCCACGACAAGUCACUUGUGAAAUCUCCGGGCUUAACUCGGAAAGGUCAAGUGAUACUGUCGGGCUAGAGUGCAGAAGGGGCAACUGGAAUUCUCGGUGUAGCGGUGAAAUGCGUAGAUAUCGAGAGGAACACCUGCGGCGAAGGCGGGUUGCUGGGCUGACACUGACGCUGAGGCGCGAAAGCCAGGGGAGCGAACGGG